AGGCGGGAUUACUGGCUCUGGUCAAACGGAUUAUACUUCAUGUGUCUGUGUCAAAGCACUGUCUUUGUUUCCUCUGCAGUGGCGACGGCACUAUGAGAAAAAACAUAGAUGUGUGGAAGAAAUGGACGACCAGCAACAGCCUGCACCUUCACGGGCUCCAGCUGCGGAUCGCAGUGCGAGGGGUUGAACAGCUGGCCGUCGGAGGCAGAAUGGUCUACUCCACCUGUUCUCUCAACCCCAUAGAGGACGAAGCUGUCAUAGCCGCUCUGCUG